UACAGAGGGGGCAAGCGUUGUUCGGAAUUACUGGGCGUAAAGGGCGCGUAGGUGGCCUUCUAAGUUGAACGUGAAAUCCCUGGGCUCAACCCAGGAACUGCGUCCAAGACUGGGAGGCUUGAAUCCGGAAGAGGGAUGCGGAAUUCCAGGUGUAGCGGUGAAAUGCGUAGAUAUCUGGAGGAACACCGGUGGCGAAGGCGGCAUCCUGGACCGGUAUUGACACUGAGGCGCGAAAGCCAGGGGAGCAAACGGG
rnacentral:rRNA from 1 species